AACGAACGCUGGCGGCAGGCUUAACACAUGCAAGUCGAACGCCCGUAGCAAUACGGGAGUGGCGGACGGGUGAGUAACGCGUGGGAACGUACCCUGAGGUACGGAAUAACCGAGGGAAACUUCGGCUAAUACCGUAUGAGCCCCGCAAGGGGAAAGGAUUAUCGCCUUGGAGCGGCCCGCGUCGGAUUAGCUAGUUGGUGGGGUAACGGGCCUACCAAGGCUUCGAUCCGUAGCUGGUCUGAGAGGACGAUCAGCCACACUGGGACGUGAGACACGGCCCAGACUCCUACGGGAGGCAGCAGUGGGGAAGUCUUGCGCAAUGGGGGCGAACCCUGACGCAGCCAUGCCGCGUGAACGAUGAAGGCCUUAGGGUUGUAAAGUUCUUUUACCCGUGACGAUGAUGACGGUAACGGGGGAAGUAAGCUCCGGCUAACUUCGUGCCAGCAGCCGCGGUAAAGUCUGUACU
rnacentral:rRNA from 1 species